rnacentral:rRNA from 1 species
UUCACGGCUUCCCUGCGGCACCAGACACGGUCGCGCCAUGCCUGACACCUAGCGAGCAUCGUUUACGGCUGGGACUACCCGGGUAUCUAAUCCGGUUCGUGCCCCCAGCUUUCGUCCCUCACCGUCGAACCCGUUCUGGUAAGACGCCUUCGCCACAGGUGGUCCCACAGGGAUUACAAGAUUUCACUCCUACCCCUGUAGUACCUCUUACCUCUCCCGGUUCCAAGUCUGGCAGUAUCCCCCGAAAGCCUAAUAGUUGAGCUAUCAGAUUUCCCGGAGGACUGACCAAACCGGCUACGGACCCUUUAGACCCAAUAAUCACGAUCACCACUCGGGCCGCCGGUGUUACCGCGGCGGCUGGCACCGGUCUUGCCCGGCCCUUGCUAACAGGUGUAUUUUACACACCCGGACAGCCAGCAUAUGAUGCUGGCACUCGGUGUCCCCUUAUCACGGUUUCCCGCAUUGUAAAGUUUU